rnacentral:rRNA from 1 species
UUCCCAGACUCCUACGGGAGGCAGCAGUGAGGAAUAUUGGUCAAUGGGCGCGAGCCUGAACCAGCCAAGUCGCGUGAGGGAUGACGGCCCUAUGGAUUGUAAACCUCUUUUGUCAGGGAGCAAAGGGCGCCACGUGUGGCGUUUUGCAAGUACCUGAAGAAAAAGCAUCGGCUAACUCCGUGCCAGCAGCCGCGGUAAUACGGAGGAUGCGAGCGUUAUCCGGAUUUAUUGGGUUUAAAGGGUGCGCAGGCGGAAUGUCAAGUCAGCGGUAAAAUUUCGGGGCUCAACCCCGUCGUGCCGUUGAAACUGAUGUUCUUGAGUGGGCGAGAAGUAUGCGGAAUGCGUGGUGUAGCGGUGAAAUGCAUAGAUAUCACGCAGAACUCCGAUUGCGAAGGCAGCAUACCGGCGCCCAACUGACGCUGAAGCACGAAAGCGUGGGUAUCGAACAGGAUUAGAUACCCUGGUA